GUGGCCUCAGCAGUUCUCCUGAUCGUUGUCAUUCUCCUCGUCAGACGGAAGAAAACUGAAGGGAACAAAAGUCAGACGGACAGAAACGUGGACGAUCCUGAGGACGGAGUUUCCUACACAUCCAUCAGCUUCAACAAGAAGACCAAGACUAAAGCCCGGAUGAGCCCACGACCUCCUGACUGUCAGUAAUCUGUGUGAUGAACUGUUUCCUCGCAGGUUCAAGGGGAUGAUGAUGAUGAAGAUGAAGAUGAAGCAGUGACCUACAGCCCUAUCGAGGCUCCCUCC